rnacentral:rRNA from 1 species
UACGAAGGGUGCAAGCGUUACUCGGAAUUACUGGGCGUAAGCGUGCGUAGGUGGUUCGUUAAGUCUGUCGUGAAAGCCCCGGGCUCAACCUGGGAAUGGCGAUGGAUACUGGCGGGCUAGAGUGUGUCAGAGGAUGGUGGAAUUCCCGGUGUAGCGGUGGAAAUGCGUAGAGAUCGGGAGGAACAUCAGUGGCGAAGGCGGCCAUCUGGGACAACACUGACGCUGAGGCACGAAAGCG